GACGUUAGACAGCGUCGCCAUGCCGGCGCCUUGGUAAGGCGCAGAUCGGGGGUUCAAUUCCCCCCUGCGGCU
rnacentral:tRNA from 1 species